UAUAACACUAAGGGUGCGUUUGGUUCGAGUUAUCCUGGCAGGAUUACAGGUAAUUCUGCUAGGAUUACUGUGUUUGAUUCAUUCGCUAUAUAAUUUAGUCGUUAAUGUAGCAUUACAAAUCAAGCAGAAUUAUAUCGAAAAUAUUAACGAGGGGGGUGUCGUGUAUCUUGUAUUACUGAAAACCGGUAAUACUAUAUAUUAUGUAAAAUGACAAUUUUACCCUCUAACUCUGGAAACCUUUUCAAUACAUUUUUUUUAAAAAAAUGUAAUUUAAAAUUUUGACUUGUCAGCUUUUAAUUUUUAAUUUUUAAUUUUUACAUUUAAAUUUUUAAAUUUAAAUUUUAAACUUCAAAUUUAAAUUUUAAAUUUUAAAUUUUAAAAUUUAAAAUUUAAAUUUAAAUUAAAAUUUUAGAUUUUAAAUUAUAAGUUUUAAAUUUUAAAUUUUAAAUUUUAAAUUNCUUUUAAAUUUGGAAUUUUAAUUUUCAAAAAUUUUCAAAUUUUUAAAAUUUAAAUUUUUAAACAUCAAAUUUCAAAUUUCAAAUUACUUUAAAUUUUAAUUUUAAAUUUUAAAUUUUAAAAUUCAAAUUUUUAUUUUAAAUUCUAAAUUUUAAAUUUAUAUUUUAAAUUCUAAAUUUUAAAUUUAUAUUUUAAUUUUUUAUUUUAUAUAUAUUUAUAUUUAAAUUUUAGAUUUUAAAUUUAGAAAUUUCAUAUUUUAUAUUUUAAAUUAAAAUAUUAAAUUUAUAUUUUUGUUAAAAUUUAAAAUUUAAAAUUUAAAAUUCAAAAUAUUUAAAAUAAAAUUUGGUAAAAAAAUAUUAUUUGUAAACGAUAAAAUUUAUUUUACAAAAUAUGGUUAAGGGCAAUUUUGGAAUAGACUAUACUUUAUUGUCUAGAUUAUUAAAUUUUAUUGAUAAAAUCAAACAUUGUAACACUAUAAACACUGCAAUACAACAUUAUAUUACUAUAUUAAAUCAAACGCAUUAAUGCAGCAUCAGUAGUAAUCCCAUUUAGAAAUCCACGAUAUAAAUCUAUUUCUUUAUACAAACAAAAGAUCAAAUAGUAUUAAUGAGUAAAGGUUUAAAUUGCGGUGGAACUUUAAUUCUCUAAAAACUUUGUUAAAUAUAAAAAUAUAAAAGCAUCGUUCUCUAUCGAUCGUUUUAUAUAAUUUAACAUGCAUCAAAGUAGAAGGUCCUGAUCGUACACGAAGUUU
rnacentral:lncRNA from 1 species